CCUACGGGAGGCAGCAGUGAGGAAUAUUGGUCAAUGGCCGGAAGGCUGAACCAGCCAUGCCGCGUGAAGGUCAGUGCCCUAUGGGCGUUAAACUUCUUUUGUGCGGGAGCAAUAAUGGUCACGUGUGGCCCGACGAGAGUACCGUACGAAUAAGCAUCGGCUAACACCGUGCCAGCCGCCGAGGUAAUACGGGGGAAGCAAGCGUUAUCCAGAUUUAUUGGGUUUAGAGGGUGCGUCGGCUGGAGUGUAAGUCAGCGGUGAAAUGCCCCGGCUCAACGGGGUGAAGUGCCAUUGAUACUGCCGAGCUGGAAUGCGGAUGCGGUAGGAGGAAGGUGUGGUGUAGCGGUGAAAUGCAUAGAGAUCACACAGAACACCGAUUGCGAAGGCAGCUCACGAAUCCGCGAUUGACGCUGAUGCACGAAAGCGUGGGUAUCAAACAGGAUUAGAUACCCGGGUAGUC
rnacentral:rRNA from 1 species